rnacentral:lncRNA from 1 species
AAAUGUGCAACAACAUUUAACAACAUUUAACAUUUUUGGUCUGUACAGAGAAAACAGGGAAAACGGAAGUAAUAUGUGUUGUGGCUGAAAAUGGCCUACAACACCCAGAAUGCAUUGCGUUCUGACGAAUCACCUGAGCUGCAGUGAUUGGAUCUACCUGUCGUUGAGUUCCGCCCCUUCUCGGCCCAACCGUUGCUGGGGCAGGUUCUGAGACGUGUCAGGGGUGAAGUUUUCCUUUAAGCCAAACAUAGUUGUAGCUCGUCCUCAGCGUCCUCCUCUGUCCUCCUCUGUCCCCCUCUGUCCUCAGCGUCCCCCUCCUCUGUCCUCAGCGUCCCCCUCUGUCCCCAGCGUCCCCCUCUGUCCUCCUCUGUCCUCAGCGUCCUCUUCUGUCCCUCUCUGUCCCCCUCUGUCCUCAGCGUCCCCCUCCUCUGUCCUCAGCGUCCUCCUCUGUCCCUCUCUGUCCUCCUCUGUCCUCCUCUGUCCUCAGCGUCCCCCUCUGUCCUCCUCUGUCCUCAGCGUCCUCCUCUGUCCCUCUCUGUCCUCCUCUGUCCUCCUCUGUCCUCAGCGUCCCCCUCUGUCCUCCUCUGUCCUCAGCGUCCCCCUCUGUCCUCCUCUGUCCUCAGUGUCCUCCUUUGUUCUCAGCGUCCCCCUUUGUCCUUCUCUGUCCCCCUUUGUCCUUCUCUGUCCUCCUCUGUCCUCAGCGUCCUCCUCUGUCCCUCUCUGUCCUCCUCUGUCCUCAGCGUCCUCUUCUGUCCCUCUCUGUCCCCCUCUGUCCUCAGCGUCCCCCUCCUCUGUCCUCAGCGUCCUCUUCUGUCCCUCUCUGUCCCCCUCUGUCCUCAGCGUCCCCCUCCUCUGUCCUCAGCGUCCUCCUCUGUCCCCCUCUGUCCUCCUCUGUCCCUCUCUGUCCCCCUCUGUCCUCAGCGUCCCCCUCCUCUGUCCUCAGCGUCCUCCUCUGUCCUCAGCGUCCUCUUCUGUCCCUCUCUGUCCCCCUCUGUCCUCAGCGUCCCCCUCCUCUGUCCUCAGCGUCCUCCUCUGUCCCUCUCUGUCCUCCUCUGUCCUCAGCGUCCCCCUCUGUCCUCCUCUGUCCUCAGCGUCCUCCUCUGUCCCUCUCUGUCCUCCUCUGUCCUCCUCUGUCCUCAGCGUCCCCCUCUGUCCUCCUCUGACCUCAGUGUCCUCCUUUGUUCUCAGCGUCCCCCUUUGUCCUCCUCUGUCCCCCUUUGUCCUCCUCUGUCCCCCUCUGUCCUCCUCUGUCCUCCUUUGUCCUCCUCUGUCCCCCUCUGUCCUCCUCUGUCCUCCUUUGUCCUCAGCGUCCCCCUUUGUCCUCCUCUGUCCCCCUCUGUCCCCCUCUGUCCUCCUCUGUCUCCUCAUGAAUCCAGGAAACCGCUGUCUCCGCCGAGUCGCGUCCCUGCUCUGUACUUCUUGUCUCGCUGCUUUGUUCAUCUCCCACUUUGUCGCCUCACAGCUCCAUCAAUGCUGAGGCUGGAGCCGUUGACCUUUUUCCUAUUGUUUCUCUAAAGAUGAUGAUCUGCUGCAGAGAC